CACGUAGGGAGCAAGCGUUGUCCGGAAUCAUUGGGCGUAAAGCGCGCGUAGGUGGCCCCGUAAGUCCGCUGUGAAAGUCAAAGGCUCAACCUUUGAAAGCCGGUGGAUACUGUGGGACUAGAGUACGGAAGAGGCGAGUGGAAUUCCUGGUGUAGCGGUGGAAUGCGCAGAUAUCAGGAGGAACACCAAUAGCGAAGGCAGCUCGCUGGGACGUUACUGACACUGAGGCGCGAAAGCGUGGGGAGCGAACAGG
rnacentral:rRNA from 1 species